rnacentral:rRNA from 1 species
GACGAACCGUGCGAACGUUAUUCGGAAUCACUGGGCUUAAAGGGCGCGUAGGCGGACCGGAAAGUCAGGGGUGAAAGCCUCCAGCCCAACUUGGAGAAGCGCCUUUGAUACUGCCGGUCUCGAGGGGUGCAGGGGCAUGCGGAACUCAGGGUGGAGCGGUGAAAUGCGUAGAUAUCCUGAGGAACACCGGUGGCGAAAGCGGCGUGCUGGACACCUUCUGACGCUGAGGCGCGAAAGCCAGGGGAGCGAACGGG